UUCGCGUUUUCGCCCUAUAGAAUAUUUAAAGCGAAAACACUAAAGCGCUAAAAUGCUAAAGCGCUAUUUAAAACGCAAAAUGGCAUUAAUCUGCCACCAUAGUUGUCCGCAUGUAAACUUCUAGAAUUUGUCACCAAUAUAAGUACAUCGCAAUCCGUUACUGUUUCAACAGCCACCGGUGUUUUAUGUGUGUAUUCUUAAACAAGUAUUUUUCUCUCUCGUUUUUAGCAAUGUAUCACUCUCUACUGUCCUUAUAUAUUAUUCUAUAUUCUGCGUUUCCAUCCAGAUUCUCGUGUAUACCAUGAGG
rnacentral:lncRNA from 1 species